UGGGCAAACUUGAUGAAAAUCAAGGACGCAAAACCAUUGGAUCUAAAGAUAGCACUGCUUGCUAAAGUCUAUCAAUGAUUGCCAGGUUGC
rnacentral:ncRNA from 1 species